UACGGGGGGAGCAAGCGUUGUUCGGAUUUACUGGGCGUAAAGGGCGCGUAGGCGGCCACCGCAAGUCAAUUGUGAAAUCUCCGGGCUUAACUCGGAAAGGUCAACUGAUACUGCGGGGCUAGAGUGCGGAAGGGGCAACUGGAAUUCUCGGUGUAGCGGUGAAAUGCGUAGAUAUCGAGAGGAACACCUGCGGCGAAGGCGGGUUGCUGGGCCGACACUGACGCUGAUGCGCGAAAGCGUGGGGAGCGAACCGG
rnacentral:rRNA from 1 species